UUUUUUUAAAUAUGAAAACGGAGUCGCCACUUGGUAUAGAUUUGGGGUGUACCAAGUCACCCAAAAAGUGUUUUUUUAAAGACAAAGUAGUAAAACCCUUUUUAAAACGACUCCUAGUCCACGUAAGCCAAAGAAAAAGGUUCGGGGGUCACGUUUGACAAAGGGGAAGGCAAGGAUAAAAAUCCAAGGCACCCCUUUGACCUAGCCAAGGCUAGUUGCGCGACUUAACCUUACCUUUCCUAAUUUUCUACCCAAUAUAUGUUCGCACGUUGGAUAUGACUAUAUGAAUGCAAAACGGAAAGAAAAAUGCAAUCCUAAAUUCUACGAUGUCUCUCGUGAGGCUUUUGGUCCCAAACCACAUGAAUUGUGGCGGCCAACAAAGGAAAACCCCAUAGAGGUCGAUUAAUGCAAAUGAGACUCAAAUGUGCAAGUGUGGAAGUGUAUGAAAGAAAUUAAAAAUCCAAGUGUUUGUUUGCAAGUGUAUGGAAAGGUGCACGUGUGCAAUUGUAUGAAAAUUCCAAGUGUUUGUGUGCAAGUGUAUGAAAUAUAGUGAGAAGUGCGUAUAGGUGUAAUUAAAUGCAAUUUUGUGAAGUAGAAAUCAAAAUGAACAAUAAGGAAAGGAAAAUGUGAAUUGAAAAGAAUGAGUGAGUGAUAAAUGAGAAUGAACGAACCUAAGGGAAUGCAUCAGGUCGGGUGUGGGAAUGACUCCUAACUUUUUCGACUUCGAUUUUCCCUUUGAUUAGAAGGCAAAACUAGCGUGCUAAGGCUAUCGAGUAGCCACACUCGCUCGUUUCC
rnacentral:lncRNA from 1 species